AGAGUUUGAUCAUGGCUCAGGAUGAACGCUAGCGGCAGGCCUAACACAUGCAAGUCGAGGGGUAACAGAGUUUGCUUGCAAACUGCUGACGACCGGCGCACGGGUGCGGAACGCGUAUGGAACCUGCCCCUGUCAGGGGAAUAGCCCAGGGAAACUUGGAUUAAUGCCCCAUGGUAACAUUGUAUCGCAUGAUAUUUUGUUUAAAGAUUUAUCGGACAGGGAUGGCCAUGCGUACCAUUAGCUAGUUGGUAAGGUAACGGCUUACCAAAGCUACGAUGGUUAGGGGCCCUGAGAGGGGGAUCCCCCACACUGGUACUGAGACACGGACCAGACUCCUACGGGAGGCAGCAGUGAGGAAUAUUGGACAAUGGGCGGGAGCCUGAUCCAGCCAUGCCGCGUGCAGGAUGACUGCCCUAUGGGUUGUAAACUGCUUUUAUACGGGAAGAAACCUACCUUCGUGAAGGUAGCUGACGGUACCGUAAGAAUAAGGACCGGCUAACUCCGUGCCAGCAGCCGCGGUAAUACGGAGGGUCCGAGCGUUAUCCGGAAUCAUUGGGUUUAAAGGGUCCGUAGGCGGGCCUAUAAGUCAGGGGUGAAAGGCCACGGCUCAACCGUGGGACUGCCUUUGAUACUGUAGGUCUUGAGUCGUUGUGGGGUUGCCGGAACAUGUGGUGUAGCGGU
rnacentral:rRNA from 1 species